rnacentral:lncRNA from 1 species
CCACACAUUCAACACCACUUCUCUCCCUUCUCCUUCUUCCUUUGUUUUGGCAGCCAAUAACCACCACCAUACCACCACCCUCACAUCAUCUUUCAAGCAAUCUACACUCACCCAAAGGUGCAAGAGGUCCUCCAACGAAGCUCGGUGCGUUCGGAAGUGGAAGGACCUUCUCCAUUUGCUAUUAACCACCACUUUUCUACACUCGAACUUCCCUAGCCUUGAGCUAGUGGACGUGAUUGACCGACCUUGACUGUUAGCGAUAUUUGAGAAUCUAACCGAGCAAACCAAGGUGAGUUCACACUUUUCUACAAAGCAUGGUCGUUAGAUGAUAUGGAGCUUGCACAAGGAGGAGGUCGUUCUGGGAUGCGAACUGAUAUGUCCCGUACCUAAUAAAUAAACCCUAUGAACUUAUGAAACUUAUGUUUUGGACUUUAAAACUUAUGAACUAUGAACUUAUGUUUUGGUUUAACGUCUUAUGCUUCCGCUGUUUAAGUUGAACUUGGUUAACUAGCUUUUGGUCACCAAUUGUAUUGUGGUUGGUUUUAUUUACUUAAAUACGUUGUUCAAUAUGAUUGGUGGCUCGAUCCUGGUCAUGUCACGCCUCCAAGCGGUGGUACUCCGCAUGGUGGAUUUUGGGGGUGUGACAGAUUGGUAUCAGAGCCAUUGGUUAUAGUGAACUUGGUUU